rnacentral:misc_RNA from 1 species
AAGUCGUAACAAGGUUUCCGUAGGUGAACCUGCGGAAGGAUCAUUAAUGAAAAGUUCUUUUGAACCAAUCAUAACACCCCAUUGUUUUAAUCCACCCCUUUUAUGCUUCCACUGGCCAGUGUUAAGCCCUUCGUCCCUUCAAUCUGACGUCGGUCUGACUUUGGGCAAGACCCUCCUUAAUGGGCUUCACAUUUCUGUGGAGUGUCCGGAGCGUGCCGGUGAAUGGCCUACCAAAAAAAAAAAUACUUGAAUAUGAGAAAUACUGUCUGAAUCAAAUCUUUUUUAUAAAUAAUUAUAAAACUUUCAACAACGGAUCUCUAGGCUCUU